ACUCUCUCCAGAGACUCCCUCCCUCCCACGCCUCCCCCAGCUCCCGCCAAGGUCAGCUCCUUAUGAUUCUGGUCUACACCACGUUCCACACCCACAGCUGUUCUCUCCAACGCCACACCCUCGUGAAAUUUACUUUGUGCUCUUCUGGGAGAUUCACCUUCAUGAAUUCCUUGCCCAGAAACCUGUCGGUUGAACACGUGGAUGACAGAGGGAAUGCACAUCGAGCCCUAAUUGUGGAGGGCCUCGAAUGCCGAGCUUACACUUUAAUGCAUUGUCUUAAAGCCUGUGGAAUAGUCACUCAUCACUCAAUCCUGAGGCUCUCCAGGCGUUCUGAUCCUGUGAGGACCCUGCAUUACAACAUCUCAGAACACCCUGCAGAGAGGGCAUCCUAGCUCUGUGUACGUUUCGUUCUAAACCAACGCUUCUCAUUAGGGGUCCAUUAAAAUAUCCUCAGAUGCUCAGGACAGCCCCUAACAGGAAAGAGCUACUUGGCCCAGAACAUCAGCAGUGCUGAGGCUGAGAAGCCCCGGUCUAAACCACACAUUCUCGUGGCACUGUAAUCUUCCAUUGAGAGAAAAAUUCUCCCGUUCCCGGAAGGCACCGACUUACCAUUUUUGUCUUGGUAGUUUCCAGUUCGGCUAAUGUUUCAUUUAAUUUCAAGGCGAGGCUCUCUGCUUUUAGACUUUCAGUUGCCUUUGUUUUCUGAGUCUCUUCAACCAUGGCCAGUGCGUCACUUAAUUUAUUAUUUAAAACGUCCUCUUUUUGCUCUUUUAAUUCUAAUUCCUAGACAAAAAACAAGUAGCAAAAUAACAGACAUUCAGGAAUACAUAUUUACCCAGCCCCCUUAUCCCCCACCUUCAAGGACAGGGUAAAGUCUAUUCUCUAAUUAUUCUGUCGAUUCUUUUAAAGCACAAAGUCCAUGCCUUCUCUGGAAGGUUCC
rnacentral:lncRNA from 1 species